rnacentral:misc_RNA from 1 species
CAUUCUUCGAUUAUCAGAGGAAGAUCCAGUGGAACCAGCUUCUUCUACCAUCUGAUUAUUUCUAGUGCUUUCUGAAGCCCGGGGAUACUCAUAUCCACCCUCGCAUGCUGGACCAUCAUCUUCUGAUUGGUCCUUAAUGAUGGGAGGUGCCUCAAUAGCACCACUAGAUUCAUCAUCUUCAAAUUCUCGGAUUUCUCCCUCUUCUUCACGUGCAGAAUAUCCAUUCCUCUCAUCAGAACUAGCCUCAGAGUAUUC